GAUGAACGCUGGCGGCGUGCCUAAUACAUGCAAGUCGAGCGAACGGACGAGAAGCUUGCUUUUCUGAUGUUAGCGGCGGACGGGUGAGUAACACGUGGAUAACCUACCUAUAAGACUGGGAUAACUUCGGGAAACCGGAGCUAAUACCGGAUAAUAUUUUGAACCGCAUGGUUCAAAAGUGAAAGACGGUCUUGCUGUCACUUAUAGAUGGAUCCGCGCUGCAUUAGCUAGUUGGUAAGGUAACGGCUUACCAAGGCAACGAUGCAUAGCCGACCUGAGAGGGUGAUCAGCCACACUGGAACUGAGACACGGUCCAGACUCCUACGGGAGGCAGCAGUGGGGAAUCUUCCGCAAUGGGCGAAAGCCUGACGGAGCAACGCCGCGUGAGUGAUGAAGGUCUUCGGAUCGUAAAACUCUGUUAUUAGGGAAGAACAUAUGUGUAAGUAACUGUGCACAUCUUGACGGUACCUAAUCAGAAAGCAACGGCUAACUACGUG
rnacentral:rRNA from 1 species